rnacentral:rRNA from 1 species
GCUGAGCCUUAAACAUUGGUAGACCCCCACCUUACAACUCUACCCGCCAGAGAACUACUAGUGAAAAACUUAAAACUCAAAGGACUUGGCGGUGUCCCACCUCGACCUAGAGGAGCCUGUCCCAUAAUCGAUACCCCCCGUUCAACCCGACCUAAACUAGCAUACUCAGCCUAUAUACCGCCGUCGACAGUCUACCCCAUGAGGGUCCAAUAGUAGACACAACAGUUAUUUAUCGCUAAAACGUCAGGUCAAGGUGUAGCAAAUGUUUAGGAGAGUGAUUGGCUACAUUUUUUAAAAUAAAACAAACGAAAUGCAACAUGAAAUCAUGCACGAAGGUGAAUUUAGCAGUAAGAUAAAUAAGAGUAUUUAUCUUAACACCGCUCUGGGACGCGC